UACGUAGGGGGCAAGCGUUGUCCGGAUUUAUUGGGCGUAAAGAGCGUGUAGGCGGCCAGGUAGGUCUGCUGUGAAAACUCGAGGCUCAACCUCGAGAUGUCGGCGGAAACCAUCUGGCUAGAGUCCGGAAGAGGAGAAUGGAAUUCCCGGUGUAGCGGUGAAAUGCGCAGAUAUCGGGAAGAACACCCGUGGCGAAGGCGGUUCUCUGGGACGGUACUGACGCUGAGACGCGAAAGCGUGGGGAGCAAACAGG
rnacentral:rRNA from 1 species